UUUUUUGCAUAUGAAAGGGUUAAUGUAGAGGAGACUAAGACUGACUCCAUCUUAAAUUCACUGAGAAUUCACCUGCCCUUGAGAAUUGAAAACAACUGACUAGCUUGUUACUCAAAUGUUAUCUCUAGUGAAGGCAUCCCUGUUGGAUAACAGCCAGUCUUCGUAAGCACCUCGGAUUCCAAUAAAAGUCAAAACUACCCCCAAAC